CGUUGUCCGGAUUAUUGGGCGUAAAGAGCUUGUAGGCGGUUUGUCGCGUCUGCUGUGAAAGGCCGGAGCUUAACUCCGUGUAUUGCAGUGGGUACGGGCAGACUAGAGUGCAGUAGGGGAGACUGGAAUUCCUGGUGUAGCGGUGGAAUGCGCAGAUAUCAGGAGGAACACCGAUGGCGAAGGCAGGUCUCUGGGCUGUAACUGACGCUGAGAAGCGAAAGCAUGGGGAGCGAACAGGAUUAGAUACCCUGGUAGUCCAUGCCGUAAACGUUGGGCACUAGGUGUGGGGGACAUUCCACGUUUUCCGCGCCGUAGCUAACGCAUUAAGUGCCCCGCCUGGGGAGUACGGCCGCAAGGCUAAAACUCAAAGAAAUUGACGGGGGCCCGCACAAGCGGCGGAGCAUGCGGAUUAAUUCGAUGCAACGCGAAGAACCUUACCAAGGCUUGACAUAUACUGGACCGCAUCAGAGAUGGUGUUUCCCUUCGGGGCUGGUAUACAGGUGGUGCAUGGUUGUCGUCAGCUCGUGUCGUGA
rnacentral:rRNA from 1 species